rnacentral:pre_miRNA from 1 species
CAACUACUCCCUCUGUCCCAAAUUUCUUGUCUUAGAUUUGUCUAGAUACGGAUGUAUCUAAUACUAAAAUGUGACUUGAUACAUCUGUAUCUUGACAAAUCUAAGACAAGAACUUUGGGACGGAGGGAGUACUUU